UGAGAAGGUUAUUCUCACUGUGGGCCUCAGAGCACAGUAAUACACAGCAGAGUCUGACAGCUGCACAUUCUGCACUGUUAAAGGUACAGACUUUGCAGUUGUGUCCAGAUUGGCAUCAAAUCUCUCCUCAUACUCUUCAGCAAUAGCACCUUUAUCAUAACUUCCUCUUCUCAGCAUGUACUUGGGAGACUCCUUGGGAUAUUGGAUGUACCAGAAGAGGUAGUAGGUGGUGGACGUGGUCAUUUCAUAGUUACAGUUAAUUAUCACUGAUCCUCCUUCGGAUGCAAAGACAUCUCCAGCAGUCUGAUUCACUUUGUCUGCAGCCCUGCACUCUGUGGAAAUGAGAGUGGAAGAAUUAGGUAACACACCAUGAAUAUAAAAACAGUAUCAAAAACUCAUGGAAAUGAUGAAUUACCGAUAAAUGCUGAAAAAAUUAGAAAAAUUCUCAAUGAAUGUUCCAUAAUUGGGUUGUUAAACUAAAAACACAGAUGUAUGUGUACUAUAAAUUAAACAGAUUUUCUAGUUGUUGCAUACUCUCUCUGUGCCCUAAAAUGCCUCAUCAGGUCGUAAGGAGCUGCUUAUAUGACAGAGGUGUAACAGGAAAUAUGCAUGUUUUUGCUGCAAUGUUGCCCCCAACAGGCAAAACGUGAGACUGCAGCCUCACUCUUCCUGAACACCAUCUCCAUGUCAUUACAGGUGGUGAACGCCAAACAAGCUGAACAAAAUGAAAGCUUUAGAUGAUGUCAGUAACACCGUCAGUCAUAUACUCCUCUCUAAGAAGUAUUUUUUGUCGUUUUCCUGUCUGUUACUGCAGUGUCUUCUGUGUGUUGUACUGGUUUAAAUGCUGCUUGCAGUGAAGUCAAUUAAUGGGAACAGAAACCAAGAGAUGGACUCUGUUCCCCUAUUUCCCUAUUUAAUUAAAGAGUAGAUAAUGCUGCUGCUG